ACGCAAUAGUGAUAGUAGCGGUUAUCCUUUUUUUUGCUUGGACAAAAGCUUUGGCAAAAAAGAUAUGAGCGGAUAGCGCCACCCGAG
rnacentral:sRNA from 1 species